rnacentral:rRNA from 1 species
GACAGAGGGGGCAAGCGUUGCUCGGAAUUACUGGGCGUAAAGGGCGCGUAGGCGGUCUGUCGCGUCGGAUGUGAAAGCCCGGGGCUUAACCCCGGGUCUGCAUUCGAUACGGGCAGACUAGAGUGUGGUAGGGGAGAUCGGAAUUCCUGGUGUAGCGGUGAAAUGCGCAGAUAUCAGGAGGAACACCGGUGGCGAAGGCGGAUCUCUGGGCCAUUACUGACGCUGAGGAGCGAAAGCGUGGGGAGCGAACAGG